rnacentral:lncRNA from 12 species
UGCACAUUUCCUUGUUUGGUGGGCCAAGUGUCCUUCUGUCACACAGAUAUCACCUGUUUCUUCAAGCAAGCACAGAGCAUGCUCUAGCAAGCCCACUGCUGUCCUCAGAGGGUGUUUCCAUGUUAUUUGUACUGCUCAUUGCGCCUUUCCUUUGCUCUCUGAUACAUCACACAUUGCCAGACUAAAAAGAUUGUUAUUGAGCCUUCCACAAAGCUGAAAUAAUGCUGUAUGUUAAAAAAAUGUUAACAAUUCGAAGAAGUUAUAAAAAUUUAUAAGUUGACUGAAUACUUUGGAAAUUUCUGCAUAUUUUAAUAUAAAUAGGUAAUGCAAAUGUUUGUUCUUUGCAUUUAGAGGUGGGUCUCUGUUUUCUAAAGGUCUUGUAUAUAAAUUUGAUUUUUACAAUUACAUUAGAACAAAACCAGUAUUUUUU